GGAGAGAUGGCAGAGUGGCCGAAUGCGGUAGUCUUGAAAACUAUUGAGCCGAAAGGUUCCGAGGGUUCGAAUCCCUCUCUCUCCGCCA
rnacentral:tRNA from 1 species